AGAAAAAGUUAUAAAUUAAUACUUUAUAACCGUGAUGUUACCUGCAGAAUAAGCACCGGCUAAUUCCGUGCCAGCAGCCGCGGUAAUACGGAAGGUGCAAGCGUUAAUCGGAAUUACUGGGCGUAAAGCGCGCGUAGGUGGUUUGUUAAGUUGGAUGUGAAAGCCCUGGGCUCAACCUAGGAACUGCAUCCAAAACUAACUCACUAGAGUACGAUAGAGGGAGGUAGAAUUCAUAGUGUAGCGGUGGAAUGCGUAGAUAUUAUGAAGAAUACCAGUGGCGAAGGCGGCCUCCUGGAUCUGUACUGACACUAAGGUGCGAAAGCGUGGGUAGCGAACAGGAUUAGAUACCCUGGUAGUCCACGCCGUAAACGAUGACAACUAGCUGUUGGAAGACAAUGUCUUUCAGUGGCGCAGCUAACGUUUUAAGUUGUCCGCCUGGGGAGUACGGCCGCAAGGCUAAAACUCAAAUGAAUUGACGGGGACCCGCACAAGCGGUGGAGCAUGUGGUUUAAUUCGAUGCAACGCGAAAAACCUUACCUACUCUUGACAUACUUGGAAGCUCUUGUAAUGAGAGUGUGCCUUUUGGAGCCAAGAUACAGGUGCUGCAUGGCUGUCGUCAGCUCGUGUCGUGAGAUGUUCCGUUAAGUCGGAUAACGAGCGCAACCCUUACCCUUAUUUGCCAGCGAUUCGGUCGGGAACUAUAAGGGGACUGCCGGUGAUAAACCGGAGGAAGGUGAGGACGACGUCAAGUCAUCAUGGCCCUUACGAGUAGGGCUACACACGUGCUACAAUGGGGAAUACAGACGGACGCUAAGCCGCGAGGUGGUGCUAAUCCUAGAAAGUUUCUCGUAGUCCGGAUUGGAGUCUGCAACUCGACUCCAUGAAGUCGGAAUCGCUAGUAAUCGCGAAUCAGCAUGUCGCGGUGAAUACGUUCUCGGGUCUUGUACACACCGCCCGUCACACCAUGGAAGUGGAUUGCACCAGAAGUAGAUAGUCUAACCUUCGGGAGGGCGUUUACCACGGUGUGCUUCAUGACUGGGGUGAAGUCGUAACAAGGUAGCCGUAGGGGAACCUGUGGCUG
rnacentral:rRNA from 1 species